GGGUAGGGAGCAUGGUUUGAGAGUCGCUUCCUGAACCUGUGAUAGAGCAAAAAACGCAAGUCACAAAAUGUCGGACACCCGAAGUCAAAGGGUGAGGUUUUAUUACGGAUUGAACCACAAGCCAUUUUGUCUCUUCGUUUCACAGGAGUGCCCCUCCGCGGCUGAUGUCAGUCGUCUAUACAGACUGAGCGAGGACACCGGAUGGGAUUUACAAAAUGCGACUUCCUGGCGGAACGCGACGACGCGCCACUUUAGGCCCCUUGGCCCUGGGCACCGCGCGCCCGGGACCAGCCCUACCCGCUGCCAACCCGGUGGGAAGUCGGCGAGCGGAGAGAUAAAGGCAGGAUCAGGAGCUGGACCUGCUUGCGACGCUGGGAGAAGCCUUCAGGAAAGUGGCGGCUGUUUUGCUACCGUGUCCUAUCCGAGGUGCUGGGCACAGACAAGGAAACUGAGAUGAGGAAACUCAACUUGCAAUGGUGGACCUAGAACUGGUCUGAAUUUAAGUUGAAAGCAUUUUUCUUUAAGUCGCAGUUGCCACUGGGGACUUCCGUCUCAGCUCUGAGUGGACAGCAGGGGAGCUCAGGAACGCAGAUGUGCCAUGCUCUCUGUCCUCACCCAGGGCUGUUGGACGUGCGAUUCUCUCUGCCUUCCCAGGCUUCCCUCAGCCUCCAUGGUAGGAGCAUUUCUAGAAUGUUCCUGGAAGCUCCCUGGAUUAGCCGUCUGUAGCCCGACUGGCACCCGGAAUUUUUAUUUGUGUAUCUCUCCGCUCCAGACAGGAAGCCCCUCAAGGAUUGAGAUCAUGUUGUCUUGUUCCCCAUGUUGUGUUUCCUCUGCCACUGCCUGCCUCC